AGAAUAAGUAUCAGAAUAAGUACUAAGAUCUAUUUGACCACUAAAUACUUCAAUGUGAUGCCUCAGUGUGGCCAGAGUUCAAUAGCAGAAGCAAGUAAAAAAAAAAGGAGUGAAAUGAUUCUUUAUAUUAGUCAUUUUCAACUGCCUGUUGAUAUUCAUCCGUUUUACGUUUGCUUCUGCUGGUAACUACGAAAUAAUUAUAAGUAAUACAUGACACUCGAUGAACUGACUAUACACAGAUGCUUACAAAUUAUUGAUUUUGUACCUAUGUUAUGAGUCACUAAUAGAUUUAAUAUGAUUUCAUGACAUGUGAGUCAUAGACAGGGUAGAGUAAUAAAAGAAUGUUUUCGAUACGUCAUUUUACGUUGCCAAUCCAAAUUUUCAUGGGAUCGAUAUUCCCUUUCAUUCUUCCAGGACGUAAGCUUAAUAAUAAAUAUUCAAAACCUUUGGAUGAUUAAAAUGCCUAUACACUGCCAAGAACAUAUGGGGCCUUCUGCGUAAAUUAGAAGACAUUAUUAGAAGACAUUAUAAUUUAUUAUCAUAUGAAGGAUUGGAUAUAAAAGCGAUAAAGUACAUAUUUUGUUAUUUUUCUACGAAUCAAAAUAAUGAUUGAGUUGAGUUUUCCUUUCAAUCUUACGUAUUCGAUAAAAUAAGACCCAAUCAAAUAUUACAAUCAAUGUAAUGAUUAGCGAUUAAAUUUCGGAAUUCGAAGAAAUGCAUGAAGGUAGCUAGAUUAUUUUCAGAAUACUCCAUAAAGCGUUAUGUAUUUUCAAGGUGAGCACGAAAGUUCAAAUUUAACAACUGUUAUGAGAAGUAUUCAUACAUCUAGAACUAUAUUGGACACUUCUUUAGUUAAACUGUAUUUGAAAGACAUUUGGUAGCAAGUCGAUCAGCCAACUAAAGGCUUCCAUGCAACCUUUAUUGUUCUUACUGCUUUUAUUGUUUGAAUGGACAUGGCUGUUUAUGCUAUAUCAUUCGCAAAACAUUUAUUCAUAACCUCCAGAAAAAUACACGAAAAUGGUAGAAAGAAUAAGAUGCAGAAAAAAUAAACAGCGAGCGAGGGAGGAAACGAAAUUGUAAAAAUAUACAGAACAUAAAUACAAACCAAUAAUUAUCAAAUAAACAAUAAUGAACAAGUAAAAAAAUUUCAAAA